AACGAACGCUGGCGGCAUGCCUAACACAUGCAAGUCGAACGAGACCUUCGGGUCUAGUGGCGCACGGGGGCGUAACGCGGGGGAACCUGCCCGUAGGUUCGGAAUAACUCCCCGAAAGGGGUGCUAAUACCGGAGAAGGUCUUCGGACCAAAGAUUUAUCGCCUUUGGAUGGGCCCGCGUUGGAUUAGCUAGUUGGUAGGGGAAAAGCCUACCAAGGCGACGAUGCAUAGCUGGUCUGAGAGGAUGAUCAGCCACACUGGGACGGAGACCCGGCCCAGACUCCUACGGGAGGCAGCAGUGGGGAAUAUUGGACACUGGGCGAAAGCCUGAUCCCGCCAUGCCGCGUGAGUGAUGCAGGCCUUAGGGUUGUAAAGCUCUUUUACCCGGGAUGAUAAUGACAGUACCGGGAGAAUAAGCUCCGGCUAACUCCGUG
rnacentral:rRNA from 1 species